UACGUAGGGUGCAAGCGUUGUCCGGAAUUAUUGGGCGUAAAGAGCUCGUAGGCGGUCUGUCGCGUCGAAUGUGAAAACCCGGGGCUCAACCCCGGGCCUGCAUUCGAUACGGGCAGACUAGAGUUCGGUAGGGGAGUCUGGAAUUCCUGGUGUAGAGGUGAAAUUCGUAGAUAUCGGGAGGAACACCAGUGGCGAAGGCGGCGACCUGGGCCAAUAUUGACGCUGAGGUGCGAAAGCGUGGGGAGCAAACAGG
rnacentral:rRNA from 1 species